rnacentral:rRNA from 1 species
CCUACGGGAGGCUGCAGUGGGGAAUAUUGCACAAUGGGCGCAAGCCUGAUGCAGCCAUGCCGCGUGUGUGAAGAAGGCCUUCGGGUUGUAAAGCACUUUCAGCGGGGAGGAAGGCGUUAAGGUUAAUAACCUUGUCGAUUGACGUUACCCGCAGAAGAAGCACCGGCUAACUCCGUGCCAGCAGCCGCGGUAAUACGGAGGGUGCAAGCGUUAAUCGGAAUUACUGGGCGUAAAGCGCAGGCAGGCGGUCUGUCAAGUCGGAUGUGAAAUCCCCGGGCUCAACCUGGGAACUGCAUUCGAAACUGGCAGGCUAGAGUCUUGUAGAGGGGGGUAGAAUUCCAGGUGUAGCGGUGAAAUGCGUAGAGAUCUGGAGGAAUACCGGUGGCGAAGGCGGCCCCCUGGACAAAGACUGACGCUCAGGUGCGAAAGCGUGGGGAGCAAACAGGAUUAGAUACCCUAGUAGUC